rnacentral:rRNA from 1 species
ACUCGAGUGGCGAACGGGUGGGUAACACGUGGGUGAUCUGCCCUGCACUUCGGGAUAAGCCUGGGAAACUGGGUCUAAUACCGGAUAGGAGCCAUUUUUAGUGUGAUGGUUGGAAAGUUUUUUCGGUGUAGGAUGAGCUCGCGGCCUAUCAGCUUGUUGGUGGGGUAAUGGCCUACCAAGGCGGCGACGGGUAGCCGGCCUGAGAGGGUGGACGGCCACAUUGGGACUGAGAUACGGCCCAG